GUUGGAGCAGGGAAGAGUGAGAUUAGGACGCGCUGGGAGGAGCAGAGCUGCAGGAGCCGACUACAUGUACCCAGAAGGAGGUGGGGAAAAAAGCCCAUUGUGUGGGUGGAAACUGUCCACUGUAAAAGUGUGGAAUCGAAGGAUGGCGAGCUAGAACGUCUGGAAGGAAAGACUGCACUUUGUGCUGAAGGACUUCUGCUUCUCCUGCCUGGUGGUAGGAGGCUCUUGCAGCGAACGAACAAUUUUAAAUUCCAUUGUGAUCUGACUUUUUUGUCACUACGGACCUGCACCAAGUACGUCAACAACAGUUGAUUGGGACCUCUAACCAACCCCAGCUGGGGUAGAUGAACUAAAGGGUGGAGGUUCAUUGGAACUGUGGAACGGAUGAUUAUUGUUUUCUUUAGUUAUUGUUUUGUUUUCUUUUCUUUUCCUUUAUUUUUGUGCAUUUCUUUUGCUAUGGCAAAUCAGAUCUUGUAAAUAUGUAUAAAUACCCACAAUAUAAAUUCAAGACACCUGCAAACUGCAAAAUUUCUACUGUCUCCUCCUUCAUGAGUCGAUCCUAUUCUCAGAAUUUCUAAACCUAACUCAUUGAUCUUGGUUACUACCCAUUUACAUUUAUUGAGAAAAGUAUUACCUUUCAUUAAUAUGCUACACAUCUGUUUUCAUUCUGCACGUAAAAUGGAGUGUCAUGAUCUUUGGGUGUUUAGGUUUUGGUUUUCAUACACAACACGGUUUUUUUGGCCUUAUCAGUUAAUUCAUGAGUGCUUUUUGGUUUUUAGGUUCCUCUGUCUGUGCAUUUUGGCUUCUUCUUGUUUGUUCAUAUUAGACUUUUUCCCUUUUGGUUUGUAGAUCCUUCUGUGUCUUGUUCAGCUCUAACUUGGAACAGCUGUUGUCAAUCCCACUGAUUAAGCUCACCUGAAUCCCAUAAAUCUCCACCAUUACCUCAACAGAUAAGCUCACAUGUUUUCAUUGUUGGCUCCAUCUGUUACAUAUUGUUGGUCAAGUCUUUGCUUUUUAAUGCCCCCUUUUAAAAGCCACAAUAUAAAACACAAAGGUCUUCCGAAUGAAAUACAGUAAAUAUUUGUAGAUUCUGUUACUUUCCUGCAAAUUGAAGAAAAAGUUACCCUACAAAUGAAAAACCACAAAAAAAAACAGUUAAAUCGUUUUUGAAAAGCAG